rnacentral:sRNA from 1 species
UUUCCUAUUUCUUUUGUCUUCUCUUCCUUCUUCUUAUAA